UAGAGUUUGAUCCUGGCUCAGGAUGAACGCUGGCGGCGUGCCUAACACAUGCAAGUCGAGCGAUGAGGCUCCCUUCGGGGGGUACAUCAGCGGCGAACGGGUGAGUAACACGUGGGUGACCUUCCCCAAAGACGGGGAUAACUCUUGGAAACAGGGGCUAAUACCCGAUGUGCUCAGCAGUUCACUCUGUUGAGUAAAGCUAUGGCGCUUUGGGAUGGGCCCGCGGCCCAUCAGCUAGUUGGUAGGGUAAAGGCCUACCAAGGCUAAGACGGGUAGGGGGCGUGAGAGCGCGAUCCCCCACACUGGCACUGAGACACGGGCCAGACUCCUACGGGAGGCAGCAGUGAGGAAUAUUGCGCAAUGGACGAAAGUCUGACGCAGCGACGCCGCGUGGGCGAUGAAGGCCUUCGGGUCGUAAAGCCCUUUUCUGGGGGAAGAGAAAGGACGGUACCCCAGGAAUAAGCCCCGGCUAACUACGUGCCAGCAGCCGCGGUAAAACGUAGGGGGCAAGCGUUAUCCGGAUUUACUGGGCGUAAGGAGCGUUGAGGCGGUUUUGUAAGUUGGGCGUGAAAGCCCUGGGCUUAACUCAGGGAAGCCGUUCAAUACUGCGAAACUUGAGGGCAGCAGAGGGAGGUGGAAUUCCCGGAGUAGCGGUGAAAUGCGUAGAUAUCGGGAGGAACACCAGUGGCGAAGGCGGCCUCCUGGGCUGCUCCUGACGCUGAAGGCGAAAGCUAGGGGAGCGAACGGGAUUAGAAACCCCGGUAGUCCUAGCCGUAAACGAUGGAUGCUAGAUGUGGGGGGUGUAGAUUCCCUCCGUGCCGCAGUUAACGCGUUAAGCAUCCCGCCUGGGGGAGUACGGCCGCCAAGGCUAAAAC
rnacentral:rRNA from 1 species